rnacentral:rRNA from 1 species
AUGAACGCUGGCGGCGUGCCUAAUACCUGCCAGUCGCACGCUGGAGAUCUAGCUUGCUAGAUCGAAGGAGUGGCGAACGGGUGAGUAAUACAUAAGCAACCUACCCACGAAGACUGGGAUAAUCUCUGGAAACGGGGACUAAUACCGGAUAGGUAAUCGGAAGGCAUCUUCUGGUUAUUAAAGGUUAAAAACACUGGUGGAUGGGCUUAUGGCGCAUUAGUUAGUUGGUGAGGUAACGGCCCACCAAGACGAUGAUGCGUAGCCGGCCUGAGAGGGUGAACGGCCACAUUGGGACUGAGACACGGCCCAGACUCCUACGGGAGGCAGCAGUAGGGAAUUUUCGGCAAUGGGGGCAACCCUGACCGAGCAACGCCGCGUGAGUGAAGACGGCCUUCGGGUUGUAAAGCUCUGUUGUAAGGGAAGAACGGUAGAUAGAGAAUAUCUAAGUGACGGUACCUUACCAGAAAGCCACGGCUAACUACGUG